UACGUAGGGGGCAAGCGUUGUCCGGAAUCAUUGGGCGUAAAGAGCGUGUAGGCGGCCCGAUAAGUCCGCUGUGAAAGUCCAGGGCUCAACCCUGGAAUGCCGGUGGAUACUGUCGGGCUCGAAUCCGGAAGAGGUGAGUGGAAUUCCUGGUGUAGCGGUGAAAUGCGCAGAUAUCAGGAGGAACACCAAUGGCCAAGGCAGCUCACUGGGACGGUAUUGACGCUGAGACGCGAAAGCGUGGGGAGCAAACAGG
rnacentral:rRNA from 1 species